CCUGGCUCAGAUUGAACGCUGGCGGCAUGCCUUACACAUGCAAGUCGAACGGUAGAGUAGCAAUACUCGAGAGUGGCGAACGGGUGAGUAAUAUAUCGGAACGUGCCCAGUCGUGGGGGAUAACGUAGAGAAAUUUACGCUAAUACCGCAUACGAUCUACGGAUGAAAGCGGGGGAUUCGCAAGAACCUCGCGCGAUUGGAGCGGCUGAUAUCAGAUUAGGUUGUUGGUGAGGUAAAAGCUCACCAAGCCGACGAUCUGUAGCUGGUUUGAGAGAACGACCAGCCACACUGGGACUGAGACACGGCCCAGACUCCUACGGGAGGCAGCAGUGGGGAAUUUUGGACAAUGGGCGCAAGCCUGAUCCAGCCAUUCCGCGUGAGUGAAGAAGGCCUUCGGGUUGUAAAGCUCUUUCGCAAGGGAAGAAAACUUAUCCUCUAACAUAGGAUGAGGUUGACGGUACCUUGAUAAGAAGCACCGGCUAACUACGUGCCAGCAGCCGCGGUAAUACGUAGGGUGCGAGCGUUAAUCGGAAUUACUGGGCGUAAAGCGUGCGCAGGC
rnacentral:rRNA from 1 species